rnacentral:rRNA from 1 species
UAUGCAGUCGAGCGGGGGAAGGUAGCUUGCUACUGGACCUAGCGGCGGACGGGUGAGUAAUGCUUAGGAAUCUGCCUAUUAGUGGGGGACAACAUCUCGAAAGGGAUGCUAAUACCGCAUACGUCCUACGGGAGAAAGCAGGGGAUCUUCGGACCUUGCGCUAAUAGAUGAGCCUAAGUCGGAUUAGCUAGUUGGUGGGGUAAAGGCCUACCAAGGCGACGAUCUGUAGCGGGUCUGAGAGGAUGAUCCGCCACACUGGGACUGAGACACGGCCCAGACUCCUACGGGAGGCAGCAGUGGGGAAUAUUGGACAAUGGGGGGAACCCUGAUCCAGCCAUGCCGCGUGUGUGAAGAAGGCCUUAUGGUUGUAAAGCACUUUAAGCGAGGAGGAGGCUACUUUAGUUAAUACCUAGAGAUAGUGGACGUUACUCGCAGAAUAAGCACCGGCUAACUCUGUGCCAGCAGCCGCGGUAAUACAGAGGGUGCGAGCGUUAAUCGGAUUUACUGGGCGUAAAGCGUGCGUAGGCGGCUUAUUAAGUCGGAUGUGAAAUCCCCGAGCUUAACUUGGGAAUUGCAUUCGAUACUGGUGAGCUAGAGUAUGGGAGAGGAUGGUAGAAUUCCAGGUGUAGCGGUGAAAUGCGUAGAGAUCUGGAGGAAUACCGAUGGCGAAGGCAGCCAUCUGGCCUAAUACUGACGCUGAGGUACGAAAGCAUGGGGAGCAAACAGGAUUAGAUACCCUGGUAGUCCAUGCCGUAAACGAUGUCUACUAGCCGUUGGGGCCUUUGAGGCUUUAGUGGCGCAGCUNACGCGAUAAGUAGACCGCCUGGGGAGUACGGUCGCAAGACUAAAACUCAAAUGAAUUGACNGGGGCCCGCACAAGCGGUGGAGCAUGUGGUUUAAUUCGAUGCAACGCGAANAACCUUACCUGGCCUUGACAUACUAAAACUUUCCAAGAUGGAUUGGUGCCUUCGGGAAUCUAGAUACAGGUGCUGCAUG